AUAAAAAUCAAUACAAAAGGUGUCAGUUCACAUUGAGAUAGUCUUGGUUCUAUAAGCGUUUUAACGAAUGACAGGGCAUAUGUAUUUUGUCAACAAUGAAUAUGGUCACCAGACUUCAGUAGAAAAUAAAAGUCAUGGUUGAUUCGAAACGGGAAAAAUCUCGUUAUAUGUCGUCAUUUCAAGAACCAAGCAAGAAACGUAAUACUUUAUGACCCAUUAAGUCGCCUUCAAGAGAUAAAAAUGGUGUGCACUGAUCUACUGACGAAAAUAGUAUUGGGCACAGUGUUUUUGGUAUACACUUCAGUACAUUCAUUAGAAACCGGGUACGAUUAUUCAGGCGAACAUGUUGAAAAAGAUGAACUCUACAAGGAUUUAAGAUGCGGAUACCUGUUUAACGGGUAUACAUACAUGCGGAUAAUUAAGCUUUUAUUUGAAGAACCUUAUAAUAUGACAUUUAAUAUGGCGGUUGGCACCAUAAGUUAUGUAAACGGUUUAGUAAAAUCCCAGGUAGCUACGCUAAUCGCUUUAAAAGAAAUACGCGUUGGGGCCAUGUGGGUACUACAUUUGUUCACCAGCCUAAUAUCCAGUUUUCACCAGAUUCCAACAAAUUCACACCAAAGCUAUAGGAAUGUUAUCGAAACUCUCAGCUAUGUCAUUGAAAAACUGAAGGACGACCUAGCCGGGUGUCGUAAAGGUAAUUCAUUCGACUCAUAUGACAUCAUGUUGAAGUCAGGUCAGAAGUUAGGAUUCAAUGAUAUCAAGAAAAGUUUAAUAAAACAACACAUGAGGAAAGCCUGGGAUCUGCUUAACAACAACAAUAUAAUUAGAGAUUGUGCGUUGAAAGAUAAACUAGAAAUUAAUUUAAAACUUAAUUGGCUUUUUUUUGGGCAACCUGGGUAUUUAUAAUGAACUCAAAGAAGACUUGAAAAAUUUAUAUAACUUAAG